rnacentral:misc_RNA from 1 species
AAGUCGUAACAAGGUAUCCGUAGGUGAACCUGCGGAUGGAUCAUUAAUAAUAUCCAAUUGAGAAUUUAUUCUCAUUUUACCUGUGAACUGGAAAAUUGAUGCUUGCAUCGUUUUCGUCUUGUACUAUUGUUUAUUUUUUUAACUUGUAAAUUUGGGCGCAAGCUUGAAUUUUAUAAAUUAAAGACAACUUUCAGCAAUGGAUCUCUUGGCUCUU